ensembl:lncRNA LINC02578 long intergenic non-protein coding RNA 2578
AAUACAGCUUGGAAUUCUGAACGUGUGAUGCUGGAGCCAGGACCAACUGCAAAGAUCCUUUGGCAUUGUGCCGUCGAGGAAACUGAGGUAUGCUGUUCUGAGGUAAAUUUAUAUGCCUCUUCAGAAGUCCUGGUGGGAUUGUGCACCAGCUGUCUGCAGUGAGGGUCAACUCAAUAAUAUGUCUUUACAAUCCCUUUUUCUCUGUCUCUAACUUCCUUCAGUGACCCCCUCACUCUGGCUCUCUGAAUAAAUUCCU